AAAGUGAUGAAAUAAAUCCUUCAAAAUGGAACUUCUGAUACCAAGAGGACGUGUUUACGACGAAUUUAUUGUGGUAUUUGCAAUGGUUACUUCAAUGUGUAUUUGUGCGGAAUACGACUUGCAGUCAGCAAUGAAAUUAAAGCAGCUAGACAUGUA